UACGUAGGGUCCAAGCGUUAAUCGGAAUUACUGGGCGUAAAGCGUGCGCAGGCGGUUGUGUAAGCCAGAUGUGAAAUCCCCGGGCUUAACCUGGGAAUGGCAUUUGGGACUGCACGGCUAGAGUACGGCAGAGGAGACUAGAAUUCCUGGUGUAGCAGUGAAAUGCGUAGAUAUCAGGAGGAAGACCGAUGGCGAAGGCAGGUCUCUGGGUCGAUACUGACGCUCAUGCACGAAAGCGUGGGGAGCAAACAGG
rnacentral:rRNA from 1 species